rnacentral:rRNA from 1 species
AACGCUAGCUACAGGCUUAACACAUGCAAGUCGAGGGGAAACGACAUCGAAAGCUUGCUUUUGAUGGGCGUCGACCGGCGCACGGGUGAGUAACGCGUAUCCAACCUGCCCAUCACUUGGGGAUAACCUUGCGAAAGUAAGACUAAUACUCAAUGAUAUCUCUAGAAGACAUCUGAAGGAGAUUAAAGAUUUAUCGGUGAUGGAUGGGGAUGCGUCUGAUUAGCUUGUUGGCGGGGUAACGGCCCACCAAGGCGACGAUCAGUAGGGGUUCUGAGAGGAAGGUCCCCCACAUUGGAACUGAGACACGGUCCAAACUCCUACGGGAGGCAGCAGUGAGGAAUAUUGGUCAAUGGGCGAGAGCCUGAACCAGCCAAGUAGCGUGCAGGAUGACGGCCCUAUGGGUUGUAAACUGCUUUUAUAAGGGAAUAAAGUGAGUCUCGUGAGGCUUUUUGCAUGUACCUUAUGAAUAAGGACCGGCUAAUUCCGUGCCAGCAGCCGCGGUAAUACGGAAGGUCCGGGCGUUAUCCGGAUUUAUUGGGUUUAAAGGGAGCGUAGGCCGGAGAUUAAGCGUGUUGUGAAAUGUAGAUGCUCAACAUCUGCACUGCAGCGCGAACUGGUUUCCUUGAGUACGCACAAAGUGGGCGGAAUUCGUGGUGUAGCGGUGAAAUGCUUAGAUAUCACGAAGAACUCCGAUUG